rnacentral:rRNA from 1 species
GAUGAACGCUGGCGGCGUGCCUAAUACAUGCAAGUCGAGCGAACAGACGAGGAGCUUGCUCCUCUGACGUUAGCGGCGGACGGGUGAGUAACACGUGGAUAACCUACCUAUAAGACUGGGAUAACUUCGGGAAACCGGAGCUAAUACCGGAUAAUAUAUUGAACCGCAUGGUUCAAUAGUGAAAGACGGUUUUGCUGUCACUUAUAGAUGGAUCCGCGCCGCAUUAGCUAGUUGGUAAGGUAACGGCUUACCAAGGCGACGAUGCGUAGCCGACCUGAGAGGGUGAUCGGCCGCACUGGAGCUGAGACACGGUCCAGACUCCUACGGGAGGCAGCAGUAGGGAAUCUUCCGCAAUAGGCGAAAGCCUGACGGAGCAACGCCGAGUGAGUGAUAAAGGUCUCCGGAUCGUAAAACUCUGUUAUUGGGGAAAAACAAAUGUGUAAGUAACUAUGCACGUCUUGACGGUACCUAAUCAGAAAGCCACGGCUAACUACGUG